UACGAAGGGUGCAAGCGUUAAUCGGAAUUACUUGGCGUAAAGCGCGCGUAGGUGGUUCAGUAAGUUGGAAGUGAAAUCCCCGGGCUCAACCUGGGAACUGCUUUCAAAACUGCUGAGCUAGAGUACGGUAGAGGGUGGUGGAAUUUCCUGUGUAGCGGUGAAAUGCGUAGAUAUAGGAAGGAACACCAGUGGCGAAGGCGACCACCUGGACUGAUACUGACACUGAGGUGCGAAAGCGUGGGGAGCAAAUAGG
rnacentral:rRNA from 1 species